UUCGAACAAGAGGUUGCUCAUUGGAAACCAGUGUUGGAAGCAAUAACCGAAGUGUGAUUCCAGAUUUGUUUUCAAAAUUUAAAUUAUUGUGCGAAAACACGAUGGAGAACAGAAAUAUUUUAUUUGGUGUAUGUUUAUUGGUUGCCGUUUUGAUAUCAAGUUUUAUCGCAAUGGUGUCUACCGAACCUAGUAUUUCAAUAUUCACAAAAUGUCUUCCAGGACGAUUAUGGAUUCCGAGAAUGAAGAAAUGUAUCCGAAUUCACGGCAUUUGACGAGACCAAUAGCAGAUACACAUACAUACGUUUCGAAACUAACGUAACGUAAAGGAUUACAAUCUGAGAAAUAAAACUCUUCUAUAUAAAUUUUUGCACUUUCGAUUUGUCAACGCGUUAUUCUGUCACUCGACGAUAUAUAAACACACAAAGUGCUACAAAUUA